CUUCAAGGUCCCACACAGUGCCUACCAGGAGGAAACAGAAUCAUCAAGCCUGGCAGAAGGUGGAUCGCAAUGCAAAACAGGACAUGAAGCACAGAUUGGGCGGAUGUGAAGAGACAAUAACUGUGGUCAUGGUUUAUUGGAGUUAUGGAUGGAAGUUGGAGGGAAUUGGGGAGCAAAUAUGAAUGCCGGAGUGCAGAGGAAAUUCUGGAACUGCUUGUGCCUGCUCUGGCCAUUUCCAGGAGCUCAGCCAGAGCCUGGAAUGUUCCUGGCUGCUUCCUGUCCUGCUAAAAGCCAGGUCAACCUCUCUUCGCCUUCCCAGUCGUGAUAGACAGCAGAUAGAAAAAUAGAUGUCCCAAGACUUAGCCCCCAGUAAUGGAUGAUGGGAUCGUCCAGCAACAUUGCAAUUGCUCCUGGCAUCCGUAGUCGCUUGCUUAUGGAUCAACCACCUCCAGGGCGGAGAGCCAAUACUUGGGGUAUCAAAGCUUCCAACGGCGGGCGGCGCUCCUGGAAGUGUCCCCCAAGUGCUGCAUAGGUUCCAGCUAAGAAGGGGGCUCCCGCCCAGAAGGAGGAAGCUGAGAGUCAGACGGCUGGGCCUCCAAAAGCCCAGAAAGCUCCAGCCCAGAAAACACCUGCCCCAAGUUAACUGUCAAGAAAGCAUAACACGCUGUUAUAAAAAGUAAUACAUUUUUCCCCUCCCUCCCCGCUAGGACCUAAUGUCGGGGGUUUAAAUGGAGAGAAAAUGUUUUGA